rnacentral:lncRNA from 1 species
UCAAUUUCAUUCAUUGUUACAUACUUGCACUAAUCUUUUACAGUCUUUUGUUUUGUUUAGGAAUGAGGCUCAGGAGAUUUGUGGGCUCAGCGAUUCUGCUUCUGGCAAUAUACUGUCGUUCCUUUUGAAUAUUGCUCCUGACUUGACAGUCUCAUUUCCAUUGACAACACUGAGAAACAGCCCGAAGCCAGUUAAUUUUAGUUAACCGAAGAAUGAGCCUUUUGGACUCCGAUUGUAGAUGCAUAUUUUGGUCUGAUGAAGGCCCGUGCAGUAGGUGGAUUGGCAACAUCACUUGCAACAGAAGCUGAGGUUCGCCAAUGAUUUACACAUAUUGAUGAUGAUGGAGGAGGGAAUGUUUAUCUAACAUAGGUAUUGACUCAUCCAACAUAAUUCUUAUCACCG